GACAGAGGCCUCAAGCGUUAGGCGGAAUCACUGGGCUUAAAGCGUGUGUAGGCGGAUCGUUAAGUGUCUUGUGAAAUCCCACGGCUCACCCGUGGAACUGCUGGGCAUACUGGCGAUCUUGGGCCAACUAGGGGCAACUGGAACAAGCGGUGGAGCGGUGAAAUGCGUAGAUAUCGCUUGGAACGCCAAAGGUGAAAACAGGUUGCUGGGCUGACACUGACGCUGAGGCGCGAAAGCUAGGGGAGCGAACGGG
rnacentral:rRNA from 1 species